rnacentral:rRNA from 1 species
UACGUAGGUGGCGAGCGUUGUCCGGAUUUACUGGGCGUAAAGGGAGCGUAGGCGGACUUUUAAGUGAGAUGUGAAAUACCCGGGCUUAACUUGGGUGCUGCAUUUCAAACUGGAAGUCUAGAGUGCAGGAGAGGAGAAUGGAAUUCCUAGUGUAGCGGUGAAAUGCGUAGAGAUUAGGAAGAACACCAGUGGCGAAGGCGAUUCUCUGGACUGUAACUGACGCUGAGGCUCGAAAGCGUGGGGAGCAAACAGGAUUAGAUACCCCCGUAGUCCCU